UUAAGUUAUUAAGGGCGCACGGUGGAUGCCUUGGCACUAGAAGCCGAUGAAGGACGUUACUAACGACGAUAUGCUUUGGGGAGCUGUAAGUAAGCUUUGAUCCAGAGAUUUCCGAAUGGGGAAACCCAGCAUGAGUUAUGUCAUGUUAUCGAUAUGUGAAUACAUAGCAUAUCAGAAGGCACACCCGGAGAACUGAAACAUCUUAGUACCCGGAGGAAGAGAAAGAAAAUUCGAUUCCCUUAGUAGCGGCGAGCGAAACGGGAAGAGCCCAAACCAACAAGCUUGCUUGUUGGGGUUGUAGGACACUCUAUACGGAGUUACAAAGGACGACAUUAGACGAAUCAUCUGGAAAGAUGAAUCAAAGAAGGUAAUAAUCCUGUAGUCGAAAAUGUUGUCUCUCUUGAGUGGAUCCUGAGUACGACGGAGCACGUGAAAUUCCGUCGGAAUCUGGGAGGACCAUCUCCUAAGGCUAAAUACUCUCUAGUGACCGAUAGUGAACCAGUACCGUGAGGGAAAGGUGAAAAGCACCCCGGAAGGGGAGUGAAAUAGAACCUGAAACCGUGUGCUUACAAGUAGUCAGAGCCCGUUAAUGGGUGAUGGCGUGCCUUUUGUAGAAUGAACCGGCGAGUUACGAUUUGAUGCAAGGUUAAGCAGUAAAUGUGGAGCCGUAGCGAAAGCGAGUCUGAAUAGGGCGUUUAGUAUUUGGUCGUAGACCCGAAACCAGGUGAUCUACCCUUGGUCAGGUUGAAGUUCAGGUAACACUGAAUGGAGGACCGAACCGACUUACGUUGAAAAGUGAGCGGAUGAACUGAGGGUAGCGGAGAAAUUCCAAUCGAACCUGGAGAUAGCUGGUUCUCUCCGAAAUAGCUUUAGGGCUAGCCUCAAGUGAUGAUUAUUGGAGGUAGAGCACUGUUUGGACGAGGGGCCCCUCUCGGGUUACCGAAUUCAGACAAACUCCGAAUGCCAAUUAAUUUAACUUGGGAGUCAGAACAUGGGUGAUAAGGUCCGUGUUCGAAAGGGAAACAGCCCAGACCACCAGCUAAGGUCCCAAAAUAUAUGUUAAGUGGAAAAGGAUGUGGCGUUGCCCAGACAACUAGGAUGUUGGCUUAGAAGCAGCCAUCAUUUAAAGAGUGCGUAAUAGCUCACUAGUCGAGUGACACUGCGCCGAAAAUGUACCGGGGCUAAACAUAUUACCGAAGCUGUGGAUUGUCCUUUGGACAAUGGUAGGAGAGCGUUCUAAGGGCGUUGAAGCAUGAUCGUAAGGACAUGUGGAGCGCUUAGAAGUGAGAAUGCCGGUGUGAGUAGCGAAAGACGGGUGAGAAUCCCGUCCACCGAUUGACUAAGGUUUCCAGAGGAAGGCUCGUCCGCUCUGGGUUAGUCGGGUCCUAAGCUGAGGCCGACAGGCGUAGGCGAUGGAUAACAGGUUGAUAUUCCUGUACCACCUAUAAUCGUUUUAAUCGAUGGGGGGACGCAGUAGGAUAGGCGAAGCGUGCGAUUGGAUUGCACGUCUAAGCAGUAAGGCUGAGUAUUAGGCAAAUCCGGUACUCGUUAAGGCUGAGCUGUGAUGGGGAGAAGACAUUGAGUCUUCGAGUCGUUGAUUUCACACUGCCGAGAAAAGCCUCUAGAUAGAAAAUAGGUGCCCGUACCGCAAACCGACACAGGUAGUCAAGAUGAGAAUUCUAAGGUGAGCGAGCGAACUCUCGUUAAGGAACUCGGCAAAAUGACCCCGUAACUUCGGGAGAAGGGGUGCUCUUUAGGGUUAACGCCCAGAAGAGCCGCAGUGAAUAGGCCCAAGCGACUGUUUAUCAAAAACACAGGUCUCUGCUAAACCGUAAGGUGAUGUAUAGGGGCUGACGCCUGCCCGGUGCUGGAAGGUUAAGAGGAGUGGUUAGCUUCUGCGAAGCUACGAAUCGAAGCCCCAGUAAACGGCGGCCGUAACUAUAACGGUCCUAAGGUAGCGAAAUUCCUUGUCGGGUAAGUUCCGACCCGCACGAAAGGCGUAACGAUUUGGGCACUGUCUCAACGAGAGACUCGGUGAAAUCAUAGUACCUGUGAAGAUGCAGGUUACCCGCGACAGGACGGAAAGACCCCGUGGAGCUUUACUGUAGCCUGAUAUUGAAAUUCGGCACAGCUUGUACAGGAUAGGUAGGAGCCUUUGAAACGUGAGCGCUAGCUUACGUGGAGGCGCUGGUGGGAUACUACCCUAGCUGUGUUGGCUUUCUAACCCGCACCACUUAUCGUGGUGGGAGACAGUGUCAGGCGGGCAGUUUGACUGGGGCGGUCGCCUCCUAAAAGGUAACGGAGGCGCUCAAAGGUUCCCUCAGAAUGGUUGGAAAUCAUUCAUAGAGUGUAAAGGCAUAAGGGAGCUUGACUGCGAGACCUACAAGUCGAGCAGGGUCGAAAGACGGACUUAGUGAUCCGGUGGUUCCGCAUGGAAGGGCCAUCGC
rnacentral:rRNA from 1 species